rnacentral:rRNA from 1 species
AAAUUGAAGAGUUUGAUCAUGGCUCAGAUUGAACGCUGGCGGCAGGCCUAACACAUGCAAGUCGAACGGUAACAGGAAACAGCUUGCUGUUUCGCUGACGAGUGGCGGACGGGUGAGUAAUGUCUGGGAAACUGCCUGAUGGAGGGGGAUAACUACUGGAAACGGUAGCUAAUACCGCAUAACGUCGCAAGACCAAAGAGGGGGACCUUCGGGCCUCUUGCCAUCGGAUGUGCCCAGAUGGGAUUAGCUAGUAGGUGGGGUAACGGCUCACCUAGGCGACGAUCCCUAGCUGGUCUGAGAGGAUGACCAGCCACACUGGAACUGAGACACGGUCCAGACUCCUACGGGAGGCAGCAGUGGGGAAUAUUGCACAAUGGGCGCAAGCCUGAUGCAGCCAUGCCGCGUGUAUGAAGAAGGCCUUCGGGUUGUAAAGUACUUUCAGCGGGGAGGAAGGGAGUAAAGUUAAUACCUUUGCUCAUUGACGUUACCCGCAGAAGAAGCACCGGCUAACUCCGUGCCAGCAGCCGCGGUAAUACGUAGGGUGCGGGCGUUAAUCGGAAUUACUGGGCGUAAAGCGUGCGCAGGCGGCUCCUUAAGUCAGAUGUGAAAGCCCCGGGCUUAACCUGGGAACUGCGUUUGAAACUGGGGAGCUAGAGUGUGGAAGAGGGGGGUGGAAUUCCAGGUGUAGCAGUGAAAUGCGUAGAGAUCUGGAGGAACACCGAUGGCGAAGGCAGCCCCCUGGGCUAACACUGACGCUCAGGUGCGAAAGCGUGGGGAGCAAACAGGAUUAGAUACCCUGGUAGUCCACGCCGUAAACGAUGUCGACUUGGAGGUUGUGCCCUUGAGGCGUGGCUUCCGGAGCUAACGCGUUAAGUCGACCGCCUGGGGAGUACGGCCGCAAGGUUAAAACUCAAAUGAAUUGACGGGGGCCCGCACAAGCGGUGGAGCAUGUGGUUUAAUUCGAUGCAACGCGAAGAACCUUACCUGGUCUUGACAUCCACAGAACCUUGUAGAGAUACGAGGGUGCCUUCGGGAACUGUGAGACAGGUGCUGCAUGGCUGUCGUCAGCUCGUGUUGUGAAAUGUUGGGUUAAGUCCCGCAACGAGCGCAACCCUUAUCCUUUGUUGCCAGCGGUCCGGCCGGGAACUCAAAGGAGACUGCCAGUGAUAAACUGGAGGAAGGUGGGGAUGACGUCAAGUCAUCAUGGCCCUUACGACCAGGGCUACACACGUGCUACAAUGGCGCAUACAAAGAGAAGCGACCUCGCGAGAGCAAGCGGACCUCAUAAAGUGCGUCGUAGUCCGGAUUGGAGUCUGCAACUCGACUCCAUGAAGUCGGAAUCGCUAGUAAUCGUGGAUCAGAAUGCCACGGUGAAUACGUUCCCGGGCCUUGUACACACCGCCCGUCACACCAUGGGAGUGGGUUGCAAAAGAAGUAGGUAGCUUAACCUUCGGGAGGGCGCUUACCACUUUGUGAUUCAUGACUGGGGUGAAGUCGUAACAAGGUAACCGUAGGGGAACCUGCGGUUGGAUCACCUCCUUA